rnacentral:rRNA from 1 species
UGGGGGAUAUUGCACAAUGGGGGAAACCCUGAUGCAGCGACGCCGCGUGAGUGAAGAAGUAUUUCGGUAUGUAAAGCUCUAUCAGCAGGGAAGAGAAUGACGGUACCUGAGUAAGAAGCCCCGGCUAACUACGUGCCAGCAGCCGCGGUAAUACGUAGGGGGCAAGCGUUAUCCGGAUUUACUGGGUGUAAAGGGAGCGUAGACGGCAAAGCAAGUCUGAAGUGAAAGCCCGGGGCUCAACCCCGGGACUGCUUUGGAAACUGUUCUGCUAGAGUGCUGGAGAGGUAAGCGGAAUUCCUAGUGUAGCGGUGAAAUGCGUAGAUAUUAGGAGGAACACCAGUGGCGAAGGCGGCUUACUGGACAGUAACUGACGUUGAGGCUCGAAAGCGUGGGGAGCAAACA